rnacentral:lncRNA from 1 species
CUGAAACCAAAAAGAUAACAUCACUAGUUAGUGGUGUUUGUAACCUCCUUUGAUAUAGUGAAGCUUGGGAGCAAGAGUCCUCCCCCGAGACGUACCGGUUAGAGGCCGGGAACUCGGUUAUCAAAUUCUUUUGUGUCAUAUUCAAGUUUUAGAUCCGUGAAUCAUUAAUCGGUUUGUGAGGCGAUUAGGGACAUAAAUUCCCUCACAAGUGGUAUCAGAGCCCAGGCUCUUUGAGAUUCACGAGAUCAGUUGAAGUCGUCUGGUUUGGAGGACUACAGAUUCUCAAGUAAAGAUUGAAUAUGUGGCAGAGAUCUCAGGGUUUUAAAAUCAGGAAAUCCUCUAAUGACACGAGAGUUUGCAACAAGGGGAGUUUUGGUUCAGAUAACUCACAGGGUCAAGUUAUUGCAUUGCAAGUGUUAAAAAGGAAGUUCUGAGACUGUUGCAGAAACAUAUAUGAUCUAGAAGGCGUUCUUGAUCUGUGAAGGUUAAAUCGAUAGUGAGUUGGUUUAAGGUGGAGGUUCUCUGCAGUGAGUUCGAUUCAAGUUUAAGAACACAAGAGUUAAGGUUACUAACUCAAGGAUGUGAAGAGAGGAAUCGAAGCAUCAUCCAAAAGACUCAAAUCCUCAAGACUUUAAGUCUAGUUUUUCGCUGCGAUCACAAGGUAUGUGUGAUGUUCUUUACUGAAGUUUUUGGAUACUCAAGGCUGCUUAAGGUUAAGAAAAUCUUCAUCUUAGAAGAACACGUGGAUGUGGUCUGAUUUCAACAAUGGGAAAGUCAAGAUUUUUUGCUGUGAACCAGAUUGUAUCUUGUUCGUUUUUGGUUGUUGAAAGUCAGCGAAUUUGGUGUUCAAGAAGGCUGUUGAAGAUUCAAGGAAAUGGGUUAGGCAGUAGAUGAGUGUGAAGCUGGACUCUGCUUGAGGUAAAGCAGAUUGAUGACUCUGAAAGGAUUUAGGUGCUGGUAAGGUUUGAGGAGCAUUGGAUAAAGGUCAUAGUCUCAGAAUUAAUGGAGGUGAAUGCAUGGCUGCAUUGACAGUAAGGAACAAGUAAGGUUAUACUUGGUUUCCUUUGACACUAAUGUGUUAGUAGAUUCCCAAAUACAAGGAAGAGUAUUGUGUGGAAUAGUUUUUAUUUUAUUUUUACAGCUAGAAAAGGGUUGUCACAAGUUCGAGGUGUGGUUGGAAGUGGCUGUAAAAGGGAAGUCUCUGGUGUUAUGGUUUAGCAAUUGAUAAGAGAUUGAUAUUGAGUUUGCUAGUGAUGGAAAUCUACUAGUACAAGAGGAUGUUUAAACACAAGAACUGAAUGGAAAGUUGUGUCGAAAGUCUUCCAGACGGGAUCAGUUUGGAGGCGGGUUCCAUCAGGGAUGAUGGCGGUACAAGAUGGAUUCAGGGCUGUGGUUGUUUAAACUAAGGCAUUAAGUUCAAUCUCAAUUUUGCUAAAUGUGGUGGUUACAACAAGGAAAGGAAUUUAAAGGCUAUAAGUUGUGAGUGUAAGACAUGUUUAAAGGAACCAGCAAUGGUGAUGCAGAAUAGUUUGAGCAAAGGGUGAGCAAAGAUAUUUGUGUCGAAAGUCUUCCUAGCUAGGUGGAGUUAGGCGGCGUGUUCUGUUGGCAACAACAGCGGUGCAAAGUGAUGCUCAAAUCAAGUGUGUUCAAACAGGUCAAGAGUAAGUCGAAGACUGUUUCAAGGAAAUGAAGCAUGGGCGACUUAAGAGUUUUUGUUUCUGCAGUUGAUUCAACGAAAAUUUGUUUGUCAGCAAGGUUCUGGUUAAACAAGACGCUUGGACCAGGGUUUGUGUCGAAAGUCUAUCUAGCAAGGAGGUAGCUUGAUGGCGGGCUCUGUUAGUGUUAACAGCGGUACAAAGAGAAGUCCAAGGCAGAAGAGUUUAAACAGAAAGGUGUUUGAAUCAUGGAUUGUUUCAAGCGCUGAGACAAGUAUGAUUCAAGUUUCUUGAAAGUGAAAGGGGUUGAAUCUAAGAUCAGGGCACAUGUGACAGAAAAGAAAAUCAAGAAAAGGUUCCACGGCAAGUCACAUUUCCAAGAAAUCCAAGGAAAUGGAGAAAGGAAAGGGUACCUGUGAGGAAUCGGAAGUCACAAGGUGUAGAUUCUGGUUCUAGGUGGAGCUGUUUUGAAGAAUGGAGAAACCAAGUUAAGGUUUGUGGUAUCUCACAGAAUUAGAAAAUUCAGAGACAAAGAAGAUGACUAAGGAGAUACAUGGCGAGAGAAAGUAGUUUCAGGUUUACAAUACGGGAUUACCUGA